CCCUCGGCUUUGCGUGACGCACCCUUACUAACCCCGUCAGAUCCGGGAGGAAGCAGCGGUCCGUGCCGGGCGCGUGCCGUGGAUUACCGGGGGGUU
rnacentral:SRP_RNA from 1 species